rnacentral:rRNA from 1 species
AUUGAACGCUGGCGGCAUGCCUUACACAUGCAAGUCGAACGGUAACAGGUCUUCGGAUGCUGACGAGUGGCGAACGGGUGAGUAAUACAUCGGAACGUGCCCGAGAGUGGGGGAUAACGAAGCGAAAGCUUUGCUAAUACCGCAUACGAUCUCAGGAUGAAAGCAGGGGACCGCAAGGCCUUGCGCUCACGGAGCGGCCGAUGGCAGAUUAGGUAGUUGGUGGGAUAAAAGCUUACCAAGCCGACGAUCUGUAGCUGGUCUGAGAGGACGACCAGCCACACUGGGACUGAGACACGGCCCAGACUCCUACGGGAGGCAGCAGUGGGGAAUUUUGGACAAUGGGCGCAAGCCUGACCCAGCCAUGCCGCGUGCAGGGUGAAGGCCUUCGGGUUGUAAACUGCUUUUGUACGGAACGAAAAGACUCCUUCUAAUAAAGGGGGUCCAUGACGGUACCGUAAGAAUAAGCACCGGCUAACUACGUGCCAGCCGCCGCAGUAAAAC